CAACUCAGACCUGGCCUGGGCGCCCGAAGGCUGCAGGGGGGACGCUCCGGUCCGAGCCACCGCCUGGGCCCGAAAGAGCCGCUCCUGGGAAGCAAUGCCGGGCCAAUCUCAAAUCCCAAAUUCUGGAAAGCACUACUUCCCACGCAGUAAAGGGAAGCCCGGGCGCCUCAAAACCAAACCUUGGAAGACGCUGGAGGAGCAAAGCCUGCAAGUUUCCAUCCACAGCCUCGAAGCCAUGGGUUCUCCCCGGCCCUCUGAAGCCGCCACACCUGUGCCAGCCGGCCGCGUCCUCAGACCUUUCCCCGCGGAGUCUUCCCAGCACUUGGAGACGCAGCGCAGGGCCCCGAGGACGGCCUGGCCCGGAGAAAAGAUACCGAAGCUCCAACUUUCCCCAACCCCGCUCCCCUCCUCCUUCCACCCUCCCUUCCCGCCCCCAAAGCUCGGGGGUCCUAUCCCUCCUCCGGUCCGCGGAGUCUCCCGAACCCUGCGGGGACCCGGCGCUCGGCGGUGCCCUCCUGGGGCGCACGGGGCUGGGGCGGGAGCGAGGAGACCAGGUGGGGAGGGGACCCCAGAUCUCAGACGCCAGGGGAGACGGCGUUUCCCGCUGUUCAUUCAGGUUUGUGCCAAAAGGAGCCUCACAGAUGCAGUAUUGGGUUUGGUAGACUCAAAUCGUCUUGUUUUAAUGUAAAUGAAAGUAAGUUUAGGAUAAAUUCCAGUGCGGCGGGGGCAGGCAAGGCUACCCACAUUUUUUAAAAAGAAGCCAGCCCGUAUUUUUCUCCCUUUCCAAAUCCUCCGCCCCCCAGUCCUUCGACCCAGGCACGAGCGCCCAUCGCGGAGGCCACGAUGCCCGUUUUAUUCCCUCUCCACGGCAAGGAAAAGCAGCGAAAUCUGAGGUCUUCAGAGGUUAACCCUAUCUAGGAGCAGAAUGUGACGCAUUGUAAACAAAUAAAUAUUGAAAACUCGAUGUUAAACACUUUACUUUUUCUGACUCCGACUUGCUUGACCCCUGAGCAGACCUGGGUUUCGAACACAGACGCCCUUCCCCAUUUCUCUAUUCUCUGUAUUCCUGUUUCACCUUCACGGCAGUCUGCCAGCACUUCUUAGCACUCAGUUUAACCAGAGGACAAGCUCUUGAAUAGCAAAAACCAGGUCUUUUUAUACGUGGCACAGUGGCUGUUACAAAAUAUGCUUCUUGGGUGAAUUGGUAAAAAAUAUUGUAUUACUUUUUAUUUGUAGCAAAACCUAGAAUAAGAAAAAGUACAAGAGAUUAUUGUUUGCCUUUAAAUUGCAUUUUUAAAAGAGCGUGCAUAUAAUCUCUGAGAAAUUAAAUGUCUACAAAUAGCACAAA
rnacentral:lncRNA from 1 species